rnacentral:rRNA from 1 species
UACGGAGGGGGCUAGCGUUGUUCGGAAUUACUGGGCGUAAAGCGCACGUAGGCGGCUUUGUAAGUUAGAGGUGAAAGCCCGGGGCUCAACUCCGGAAUUGCCUUUAAGACUGCAUCGCUCGAAUUGUGGAGAGGUAAGUGGAAUUCCGAGUGUAGAGGUGAAAUUCGUAGAUAUUCGGAAGAACACCAGUGGCGAAGGCGACUUACUGGACACAUAUUGACGCUGAGGCGCGAAAGCGUGGGGAGCAAACAGG